rnacentral:rRNA from 1 species
CCUACGGGUGGCAGCAGUAGGGAAUAUUGCUCAAUGGGGGAAACCCUGAAGCAGCAACGCCGCGUGGAGGAUGAAGGUUUUCGGAAUGUAAACCCCUUUUGUUAGAGAAGAUAAUGACGGUAUCUGACGAAUAAGCACCGGCUAACUCCGUGCCAGCAGCCGCGGUAAUACGGAGGGUGCAAGCGUUACUCGGAAUCACUGGGCGUAAAGAGCGCGUAGGCGGGAUAGCAAGUCCGAAGUGAAAUCCUAUGGCUUAACCAUAGAACUGCAUUGGAAACUGUUAGUCUAGAGUAAGGGAGAGGUAAGUGGAAUUCUUGGUGUAGCGGUGAAAUGCGUAGAGAUCAAGAGGAAUACUCGUGGCGAAGGCGACCUGCUGGAACAUAACUGACGCUGAGGCGCGAAGGCGUGGGGAGCGAACAGGAUUAGAUACCCGGGUAGUC